rnacentral:rRNA from 1 species
CCUACGGGAGGCAGCAGUGAGGAAUAUUGGUCAAUGGGCGCGAGCCUGAACCAGCCAAGUAGCGUGAAGGAUGACUGCCCUACGGGUUGUAAACUUCUUUUAUAAAGGAAUAAAGUGAGGCACGUGUGCCUUUUUGUAUGUACUUUAUGCAUAAGGCUCGGCUAACUCCGUGCCAGCAGCCGCGGUAAUACGGAGGAUCCGAGCGUUAUCCGGAUUUAGUGGUUUUAAAGGGAGCGUAGAUGGGUUGUUAAGUCAGUUGUGAAAGUUUGCGGCUCAACCGUAAAAUUGCAAUUGAUACUGGAAGCCUUGAGAGCAGUUGAGGUAGGCGGAAUGCGUGGUGUAGCGGGGAAAUGCUUAGAUAGCACGAAGAACUCCGAUGGCGAAGGCAGCCUACUAAACUGCCACUGACAUUGAUGCUCGAAAGUGUGGGUAUCAAACAGGAUUAGAUACCCCAGUAGUC